rnacentral:lncRNA from 1 species
GUAGACGUUGUUGAGUCAUUUUUUAUCCAUUAAGCCUGUCUCUAUCUUUUAGGUAGGUAAUUUAACACAUAUUCAAAGUUAUUAUUGAUAGGUGAGAACUUAUUCCUGUCAUUUUGUUCAUUGUUUUCUGGUUAUUUUGUAUAUCCUUUUGAUUUGGUUUGGCUGUGUCCCCACUCAGAUCUCAUCUUGAAUUUCCAUGUGUUGUGGGAGGGACCCAGUGGGAAGUAGUUAAAUCAUGGGGGCAGGUAUUUUCCAUGCUAUUCUUUUGAUAGUGAGUAAGUCUCAUGAGAUCUGAUGGUUUUAAAAGGAGGAGUUUCCCUGCUCAAGCUCUCUCUUUGCCUGCUGCCAUCCCUGUAAGAUGUGACUUGUCUCUCCUUGACUUCUGCAAUGAUUUUGAAGCCUCCCCAGCAAAGUAGAACUGUAAGUCCAUUAAACCUCUUUCUUUUGUAAAUUUCCCAGUCUUGUAUGUGUCUUUAUCAGCCGUGUGAGAAUGGACUAAUAUAGUAAAUUGGUACCAGAAGUGAGGUGUUCCUAAAAGAUACCUGUAUAUGUGUAAGUGAUUUUGGAACUGGGAAACAGGCAGAGGUUGGAGGGCUCAGAAAGAGACAGGAAAAUGUGGGAAAAUUUGGAAGAGAUUUCCUAGAGACUUGCCCAAAAUGCUGAUGGUUAUAUGAACAAUAAAGUCUAGGCUGAGAUGGUCUCAGAUGGAAAUGAGGAACUUGCCAGGAACUGGCACAAAAGUGACUCCUGUUAUGUUUUAGCAAAGAGACUGGUGGCAUUUUGCCCCUGCUGUAGAGAUUUGUGGAAUUUUGAACU